rnacentral:rRNA from 3 species
UGGGGAAUAUUGGGCAAUGGGCGAAAGCCUGACCCAGCAACGCCGCGUGAAGGAAGAAGGUCUUUGGAUUGUAAACUUUUGUCCUAUGGGAAGAAGGAAGUGACGGUACCAUGGGAGGAAGCCCCGGCUAACUACGUGCCAGCAGCCGCGGUAAUACGUAGGGGGCGAGCGUUGUCCGGAAUUACUGGGCGUAAAGGGCGCGCAGGCGGCCGAUCAAGUUAGAUGUGAAAUACCCGGGCUUAACCUGGGAACUGCAUUUAAAACUGGUUGGCUAGGAGUGCAGGAGAGGGAAGCGGAAUUCCUAGUGUAGCGGUGAAAUGCGUAGAUAUUAGGAGGAACACCAGUGGCGAAGGCGGCUUUCUGGACUGUAACUGACGCUGAGGCGCGAAAGCGUGGGGAGCGAACAGG